rnacentral:rRNA from 1 species
GAUGAACGCUAGCUACAGGCUUAACACAUGCAAGUCGAGGGGAAACGACAUCGAAAGCUUGCUUUUGGUGGGCGUCGACCGGCGCACGGGUGAGUAACGCGUAUCCAACCUGCCCACCACUUGGGGAUAACCUUGCGAAAGUAAGACUAAUACCCAAUGAUAUCUCUAGAAGACAUCUGAAAGAGAUUAAAGAUUUAUCGGUGAUGGAUGGGGAUGCGUCUGAUUAGCUUGUUGGCGGGGUAACGGCCCACCAAGGCAACGAUCAGUAGGGGUUCUGAGAGGAAGGUCCCCCACAUUGGAACUGAGACACGGUCCAAACUCCUACGGGAGGCAGCAGUGGGGAAUCUUCCGCAAUGGCCGCGAGGCUGAACCAGCCAAGUAGCGUGCAGGACGACGGCCCCUAUGGGUUGUAAACUGCUUUUAUAAGGGAAUAAAGUGAGUCUCGUGAGACUUUUUGCAUGUACCUUAUGAAUAAGGACCGGCUAAUUCCGUG